GGAAAAACAGAUGGAGACUAUUACACCCUGGAUGACAUGUUUGUCUCCAAAGCAGCUGAGAGAGAACGUCUUGGUGAAGAGGAAGAGAACCAAAGGAAAAAAGCUAUUGCUGAGCAUCGGAGUCUUGCUGCACAAAUGGAAAAAUGUCUGUAUUGUUUUGACAGCUCUCAAUUUCCCAAGCAUCUUAUUGUUGCAAUAGGUGUUAAGGUUUAUUUAUGUUUACCCAACGUACGGUCUCUUACUGAGGGGCACUGCCUGAUAGUCCCUUUGCAGCACCAUAGAGCAGCUACUUUGUUGGAUGAAGACAUCUGGGAGGAGAUCCAGGUCAGCAUAAUAAAUGUUCAUUAUCAUUUUAAAACUCAUGAGCAAUUUUUGUAAAUUAUUGUGAUAAAUUCCAAUAGGUAUAACUUCAUUUAAUGAUUUUAGUUUCUAAACUUAAACACGUGUGUUUUCAUAGUUGUAUAUAUCUGUGGAUCAUGAUGUUUCCAUCAUUUUAUUUCCCUUGUGUACUCCAGAUUUUGAGACCUUUUAUCUACGAAAUAAACUGUGA
rnacentral:lncRNA from 1 species